UUUCAUCUGCCACAGUUGAUACAGCUGCAGUUGCUGCUCGGCUGUGGCAUCCGCAGAUUUAUGAACUCGAUCGCACUCUUGAGGUACAACGAUCCAUAGGAAAGUGAGAUUUGAUUCUGAUGCCUCUGCAAAUCGAACAUUAACUCAAAGAUUAGAUUUGAGGGUUUGUAGUGAAAAGAGAUCUUAACAGCAGCUUCGGCAGAAAAGCAAGCUCGACAGUAGCCAACCAUGUUCGACAAUCCAUUAACUGGAUCUGUUUCCGUGGGCGAGGCGCCGACCGCGAACGGGAUCAGGUCGACUCCUCCCACCGCCGCAUCGGUCACGUACACCGCGUCG
rnacentral:lncRNA from 1 species